AGCGGCACCCAUUAACCCCAAGAAAAAAGGACGACACGUCGACAGACGGGCCAUCAGGACAGAGGGCCGCGGUGGACGGCUGGUGGACGGAGUGGACCAAAUAGCCAGCACCCUCGUGGCGGCCAGUCUGAUGGACACGCGGCCUGGUGGGGUGGGUGAACAACGAUCAUCUGUCCCCCAGUCCAUCGACAGCCAUCACCGACACCCACCUCCCCCACACCCGUCCCGACCUGGAGAUCCCCCACGUAUUUGUCAGCCACCUGCUGGGCGGCAUGGGUCGCGUUGACACCUCUUCCCCCAUUGUGGGAAAAAUUCACCCACCGGAUAGGAUGGCUACGGGACCCUCUUUAGGGUGGGGGUGGAGCCCUCCCCUCGACCUGGGGGACGUAGGGGACUUGCAUCUGCUCCCGUCGAUGCUAGUCGUAGUAUUCAACUGGGGAAAUUGAUCCACCCAUGUCUCCCCCAGACCUUCAGCUCAUAUUGUACGCUGAGAGACGCAGUAAUUUUUCAUGUUAAUUUUCUGAACUGCAUCUUUUAUUUGUAUUC
rnacentral:lncRNA from 1 species